rnacentral:lncRNA from 1 species
GGGCAAGUAAAGAGAGAAAGUCUAGGAUGACCUAGGAGACCCUAGGUUGGUAAGCCCUAAGGUUAUAGGUGCGUCAGCGGAACGUGAACCUAUAGCGAUGGCGAAACUGAUUCGAUUAGGUCGAAGUUGGUAAUAUGUCUCUAGUUGUGAUUAGAGACGGAUUCAAGUAGUAUGAGUUCUUGUCUUGAGGUGGUUAUGCCGGCGGCCGACGACAUGAUACCAAGGGUCUAGAACGAGUACACUUGUGUACUUCCGCCCAAUUUCAUUGUUGAGUCGUUGUAUGUCGUAAUUGCGACGAGACGAACGGGUUAAGGUAAUUAACCAUGUACUUGCGUUUCAAGAGCCAAUGGCACCAAGAGGACGCCCGAGCACGAGGUCUACUCCGGCACCGAUUCCUGAGGUGCCCGAGCAGGAGGAACCGAGCGUGAUCGAUCGGUUGUAAGCGCAGGUGACCGCGCUGACCAAUGUGGUGCAGCGCCAGGAGACCUGAUUUGAGCGACUCCAGGAUCUAUUGGAGCGGCAGAUUGCGGCGGCGGCUGCAACGGUGAAUGAGGGCGGUGGUCCGCCCGCACCCUCAACUCAUAUACCCAGAGCGGCGUAGGGUGAGGGCAUAGCGGCGGUUCCGGUGACGGCACGCCCACCACCAGCGAUCGUACCACAGGUGGCAUCGGGGUCGGCUACACCCGAUGUGUCGGCCGAAGACGUGGAGGGAGAGCGUGCGUUGGCGGCUCUUAUCAAGUUCAACAAGUUCCAUCCGCCAACCUUCGAGGGCGAGAAGGUGGAACCGGAGAUGGUCGAGUCUUGGAUUGACUCGAUGGAAACCCUCUUCGAUGACUUGCGUACCUUGGAGAGGGACAAGGUUUACCUCGCCACCCAUUGUUUGGAGAAGGCGGCGAAGGUUUGGUGGAAGCGCGUUAAGCGGGAUCGGCUUCCCGGCCUUCCGCCAAUGUUGUGAAAGAGUUCAAGCGGGAGAUGUUUGCUAACUAUUUCCCCGAUACACUGAAGCGGAAGCUCAAGGAGAAAUUUCGCAAGUUGGAGCAAGGGGACUGCUCAGUGGCGAAGUAUGAACAAUAAUUCUCCCAUAUUAUCAAUUGCGUCCCAGACGUUGUAAAGGAUGACCGAGAUCGGGCCGAGUGGUUCUUGCGAGGACUUCGGUCGGGAAUUUACAAGGCCGUGCAAAUACUUAAGCUCACGACCUUUGCGGAGGUCUUUGAUCGAGCCCUAUGGGCGGAGCACGGAGACGCCCACGUUCGGGAGAAGCAUGAGCUUUUGGCCGAGUCCAAGGAUAAGGGCAAGAAACGCCAAGGUGGCGGUAGUUCGGGGGGACAAGCACGUUACAAGAAACCCCCGAAGUAUCUGCGCACUCAACAAAAGGGCGGUGGAGCGUGGUGAUGCAUUGUGUGCGGCGGAGACAACCCGGUCUCACGCUGUGAGCAAAGCCGAGGCAAGUGCUACAAGUGUGGGCAACCGGGGCACUUCAUUCGGGAUUGCCCGGGAGGAGGAGCCUCACCUGCCCCAUCGAUUGCAUCGGCGCCGGCGAUUCCGGCUCACUAUGGAGGAGCUCUACCGACGGCCGCGUCAACGGGACGCGCGAUGAUGCUGCAUCAACCUGAAAUGACGCGAUCGGCCCCGAGCGGACGGGUGUUCGCCGCUCAGGUCCAAGCUGAGGAACCUGCAGAGGCGGAGGAGCAUCUCCUUGUGGCAGGUAUGGUUUUAAUUAACGGAGUUCGCUCCAGGACUUUAUUUGAUACAGAAGCCACGCAUUCAUUCAUAAGUAGAUCAUUCGCACGCAUGCAUGACAUUCUCAUGGAAGUGAGUGACAAGUAGCGAGUGGAGGGCCCUAGGUGAACGUUUAACACUUACUCGGAGUGGAAGUGGAAUGAGUAGCUCCGACGUUAGAGGAGUUAUCUGUGGUGCCGGAGUUCCCAGAUGUGUUUCCUGCGGAGUUGCCAGGGAUACCACCGGAUCGGGAGAUUGAGUUCGUCAUAGACUUGGUUCCCGGUACCGCACCGAUCUCGAAGGCUCCGUACCGAAUGGCGCCGGCGGAAUCAAGAGAGUUGAGGAGUCAACUGCAAGACCUCCUCGACAAGCAAUUUAUCCGGCCCAGUGUAUCACCGUGGGGAGCCCCGGUGUUGUUCGUAAGGAAGAAAGAUGGAUCGUUCCGACUCUGCGUGGACUAUCGAGAAUUAAACAGAGUCACGAUCAAGAACAAGUACCCACUACCCCGAAUCGAUGACUUGUUCGAUCAGUUGCAGGGAUCGUGUGUGUACUCGAAGAUAGACUUGCAAUCCGGCUAUCACCGGCUAAAAAUCAAGCCGGAGGAUGUGCAGAAGACCGCGUUCCGCACGCGGUAUGGACAUUACGAAUUCACGGUUAUGCCAUUUGGACUCACGAAUGCUCCGGCGGCGUUCAUGGAUUUGAUGAACCGUGUCUUCAAGAGGUAUUUGGACCGAUUUGUCGUGGUCUUCAUAGACGACAUAUUGGUCUAUUCUCGUAGUGACGAGGAACAUGCCGAGCAUUUGAGAAUAGUGCUUCAAGUCCUUCGGGAGGAGAAGCUAUAUGCUAAGCUGAAGAAGUGUGACUUCUGGCUCCGCGAGGUCGCCUUCUUAGGGCAUGUGAUCUCCGCGGGUGGAGUUUCUGUAGAUCCGAGGAAAGUUGAGGCAAUCAAGGAUUGGCUGCGCCCGACGAAUGUCACGGAGGUUCGAAGCUUCGUGGGCUUGGCGGGCUACUAUAGGCGGUUUGUGGAAGGCUUUUCCAAGAUAGUGAUUCCACUUACCCGCCUGACUCAGAAAGGCACCAAGUUUAUGUGGAGCGAAGAGUGUGACCGGAGUUUCAAAGAGUUGAAGCAGAGAUUGACUUCGACUCCGGUGCUCGCUCUACCGGUGCAGGGCGAAGACUUCGUAGUCUACAGCGAUGCUUCCUAUCUUGGAUUGGGGUGUGUAUUGAUGCAAAACGGGAAAGUGAUUGGUUAUGCAUCCCGUCAGCUGAAGAGCUAUGAAAAGAACUACCCUAUCCACGAUUUGGAGUUAGCGGCGGUAAUCUUAGCCUUGAAGUUGUGGAGGCACUACCUGUAUGGUGCCCACUGUGAGAUCUAUACCGACCACAAAAGCUUGAAGUACCUGUUCACACAGAAGGAGCUCAAUAUGCGUCAGCGGCGGUGGUUGGAGCUAUUAAAGGAUUAUGAUGUUGAUAUCCUCUACCACCCCAGGAAGGCAAAUGUGGUUACGGACGCACUUAGUAGAAAGUCGGCGAAGAACCUCGCUUUUGAUGUUACCCAGCAAACACCCCUAUGGUUGGAUAUGGAGCGAUUGGACCUUGAAGUGGUCACUCCCGAGGUCCCGACUCAGUUGAUGGCACUCGUUGUCCAACCGACCUUGUUAGAGAGGAUCAAAGAUCUGCAACCCGCAGACCCAGAACUCCAAAAGGUGCGGCGAAACAUCGAGUAAGGGCAUGGGGGAAUUUUAAAGUAAACGCCGAUGGUACGCUUCGGUUUCGAAACCGAUGGUGUGUGCCGAAGGAUGGAGAGCUUCGUGAAUUGAUUUUACAAGAAGCACACCGAUCUCCAUAUGCCGAUCACCCGGGCGGCACCAAGAUGUAUCAAGGACUAAAAAUGCACUAUUGGUGGCCGGGAAUGAAAGAUGAUAUUGGAUGCUUUGUGGCGAAGUGCUUAACAUGCCAACAAGUGAAGGCCGAGCGUUGAUUUCCAGUGGGAAAGCUUCAAAACCUACCAAUCCCCGUUUGGAAUCGAUGGAUUUCGUGGUCGGCUUGCCUCGCUCAACAGGCGGCCACGAUGCAAUUUGGGUAAAUGUGGAGCGAUUGACAAAGUCGGCUCACUUCUUGCCGAUCCACACUACGUGGUCGGGUGACAAGUUAGCGCAGGUAUAUCUUGACGAGAUAGUGAGACUGCACGGGGUGCCAAAAUCGAUCGUGUCGGAUCGUGACCCCCCGGUUCACUUCACACUUCUGGAAGAGCCUGCAGGAAGCCCUUGGCACACGGCUCGACUUUAGCACCGCAUUUCAUCCUCAGACCAAUGGUCAAACAGAGAGAACUAUUCAAACUCUGGAGGACAUGUUGCAAGCGUGCGUCAUCGACUAUAAAGGAAGUUGGUGUGAUCACCUACCUAUGGCCGAGUUCGCCUACAACAACAGUUAUCAUGCUAGUAUGAGAUGGCACCGUUCGAGGCUCUUUAUGGGCAGACGUGUCAGUCUCCUAUACACUGGAGCGAUGUGGGUGAGCGUAUAGAGUUCGUUCCUGAUGUUUUGCGAGAAGCGGAGGAGAAAGUCCGCCUUACUCGCAAGAGAUUGCUCACGGCGCAGUCGAGAUAGCAAAGCUAUGCAGAUAGGCGCCGUCGAGAUAUAGAAUUCGCGGUAGGCGACCGCGUAUUCUUGAAAGUUUCACCGAUGCGGGGUGUGAAGCGAUUUGGAGUGCGGGGAAAGUUGAGCCCCCGAUACAUUGGACCAUAUGAGAUACUGGAGCGAGUCGGCACAGUGGCCUACCGACGUGCUUUGCCGCCGAAGCUUCCGGAUGUACACAACGUGUUCCAUGUCUCCAAUCUCCGCAAGUAUAUUCACGACCCCGAGCAUGCGAUGCUACAUGAGCCACCGGAGCUUCAAGGAGACUUGAGCUAUGAAGAGUUUUCGGUAGGGAUUAUUGCCCGAGAGGUGCGAAAGUUGAGAAAUCGAGAAAUCCCCUAUGUGAAGGUUAGGUGGAGCAAUCACGAGGAUAACGAAGUCACCUGGGAACUCGAGAAUCUGAUGAGAAAACACCAUCCUCAUCUAUUUGAGGAGUAAGGUAUGGGUUUAAGUUAAAAUAAAGAAUUGAGUUCGUUUUGAGGACGAAACUCCUUUUAAGGAGGGGAGAAUGUAAGAAAGUGAAUUCUCGAAAUCCGAGGAUUGUACUUCACCCAGGAUCGGCUAACUGUUGAGAGAAUACCCUUGUGGGAGUUGAAAAUCUCCAAAACACAAAAAGUGCUUUGGAGUUGAGUCCGCGAGAGCAAAUAGACAAAAUCUGGACUCAGCAGAUUUUUGCUCUCGGGGACCGGUCCCUGGAGGGAAGGACUGUCCCCGUAGCUGAUGGUCGCUGGGGAGGUCGAUGCGACGGGUCCCUGGCUGAGGGGACCGGUCCCCGUGCGCGACACCCGCGAGAAAAGGCCUAAAUUUGGCUAAGUCCUGAAAGUUCCCCGUUCGGGAACCAGUCUCUCAGGAAAGACCUGUAAGGUACCAGACUUCUAAAAUUAUGAAGUUAUGGUGUACGUGGCUUUGGAAAGCCAUUUGAAUGGUUCCGGUGAAGUUCGGUGAGGUUCGGGAGCAAUUCGGUGUUUUGGUGCGCGUAGGCGCGGAAACAGAGCCCGAAAGGCUAAGUUGGGCCGUGAGCUAAAUCCGGCAUUAGCGAGGAUGGAAAGAUGAUGAAAACAUAUUUGAAAACAUGUUUGGAGAGUCUCGAUUCGAUUUGAAUUGAAUCGGAGGUCAAACGGAGCGAAAACGGACGAAGUUGAAAAUUGGCUAAGUCUGGGCUGGAGGUCUCUCUGGGACCGGUCCCAGGUAGAGAGACCGGUCUCUCAGGGACCGGUCCCUCAUGCAGAGACCGGUCCCCGAACCCCGAAAAUGCCCAGUUCGGGCUGUUGCAAGAGAGGCAUUGUUGAGGGACUUAUAUGCAAUUGUUGCAUGGGUUAAGUGUAUAGAGAGGGUUAGAACACCUCUCUCUCUCUUUCCCUCACCGUUUCAACCCCAACACCAUCCCUCUCUCUCUCUCUAAACGAAAGAAGAAGAAAAGAAGAAGAAGACGAAGGAGAAAGAAAAGAAGAAGAAGAAGAAGAAGGAGAAGAAGAUCAAGAAGGAGAUCUUCAUCCUCUCCUUCGUCUUCCUCGUGCUUGGAGCGAACCUAGAGAGGUAAGUUUUGUUACCCUCUCAUGGUAGAUCUCUAGAAAUAGGUCUAAAUGCUCUAGAAGUGAGUUUAGUAGGCUCCUUUGAUGCUAGAUAGAUGUUUAUUGCAUGAAUCGGAGAUCGAUUUGGGGUAUUUUGCAAUAGUAGCAUCUAGGGCAUCGAAAAUGGAAUUUUUGUAAAUAGAUGGGUUUGAUCUCAAAUAACCCUCUGUAAACCUAAUUGAUAGGUAACGAAACACGUUGGCGAGGACGGUUCGGCAAUCUGACGAGCCGUUACAAAGAUAUUGAAGAAACGGACGCUUAGAGCUUCGUUUCCGCCUAGAGGGCCGAGGCGACGUCCAUAAAUCGUGAAAUCGGGUCCCGAGCAUCGUAACGGCGAAGCGAAGAUCGUUAGCACUUGAAACGGCGAAGCGACACGCUCUUGGAGAGCAACUGUGAGAUCGGGCCCAAACGGGUGCCGAGUGCCGCGGGAGGCCGAUUGCAAGUGUCGACGAGCAAUCGGAACGCGAGUUAAGGUGGGUUGUGUUUACCGAAGCGACUAGGUCGCCCUUUAUGUCUAAGAUGAUUAAGAAUCCAUGUUGAUACAUAUGAAUGUAAAUGAGGCAUAUAGAUGAUGCAUAUAAAUGUAAAUAAUGCAUGUUAAUAAUAUGAUGCAAAUGCUAAGUAGAUCCAUGUAAAAUGAUAUGUUAUAGAAUACAUGCUAGUGAUAAUGCAAAUGAUAUGUAUGUGUGCAUUGGAGUAUAUGCUAGUUGCACUUAGCAUUAUGAGUUCAUGCUAGAUAGUAAAUGCAUAUUGGCAUCAUAGAAUGUAUGCGAGAUGAAAUGUGGAUAUCUAUAGUACUCGUUAUGACAAAUAGGAUAUCAGGUAGAUCGAGUGGCAUUAACCUAGUGUUAAUAAACAUAGGUCGAACAUAGAUGACAUUGAACCUAGUGUUGUUGAACCUAGGAUAAAUAACGAGUGGCAUCUAACCUAGUGUUAAAGAACAUAGGUUGAGUAUGAACCUAGAGUCGGGAUCUAGGUGUGUGGCAUCUAACCUAGUGUUAAAGAACAUAGGUUGAGAACUGAACCUAGAGUUAAGGUAAACCUAGGUUGUGAAAUUGAGGCAUUAGACCUAGAGUCAGUUGGACCUAGGGUGGAAAGUGCAUUGGACCUAGAUAGGUCAAUAGUAUAGGGUUGGAUAUGGACCCUUGACUUGUGAAGUCGAUUCCGGAAUCCCAGUACUUGUGAACUCAAUAGUUCUUGGACCGCGGGUGUAUGCGGCGAUGUUCCUCUCCCACCGGAAGAACUUUGAGGAUUAUAACUAAGCAAGAACAAAGAGCACUAGGGUGUACGCAGCAUGUUCCUCUCCCUAUCAGGGAUCUUGGCUAUGGGUGUAUGCGGCAUGUUUCCUCUCCCUCUGGCAGAUCCCUGACCACGGUGCACGGACCUUCGGGUGGACCGUUGGGCGAUGUGGUUUUUGGCUUGCAGGCUGAGGUGCAUGCGACAGGGUCCUUCACCUCGAGCCGGGCAAAGCGCAGAUUAUCCGCAGUUGAUUGACUCGAGGCCGAGUCGGGUGGCUAGCUGGAAUAAGGUAGAUAGAACCUUGAGGGCUAGUGGGUAAAUGUGAUAACCUAAGGUAGUAGAAACCUUAGAGUUGGAUGACAUGAGCUAAGAUUAGCGAGAUUGAUUGUAGAAUCAAUAAUUCUACUAGUUGUUGUAUAUAUUCCUGUUGCAUAUAGUAUGGCAUCAUUGCAGUUGUGAGACAAAGCAAGGUAAAGUUAGUUGCAUGUUUAUGAUAUACAUAUUUAUCUGUUUAUUGGACUAACUUGUAUUUGCCUCUCUUGCACCUGUUGGUCGAGUUCCUCCCUUGGGUGGCCGUACCCACUGGGAACCAUGGAGUUGAUUCUCACCCCACGUUGUUUUGGGGUUUUACAGGUUCGCACGUGAGCGACGCGGCGGCGCGAGGCAAGGGCGUAGCUCCAUAGAUAGCGCCCUACCCCCAGAGACCAGAGCUAGCAGUACCCCGUCGACGUAGCUUAGGGGUAUAGAAAAUGAAAGCAAGCAAAUGUAUUUACCUUGUAAUAUCUAUGAUGUAAUAACUUAAUUGCAUUUGGAGGUUGAAUGUGAUGUAAAAUGAAUCUAAUGUGAAUGCUUGUAAUAUCAUAGGAUGUGUUUAUGUUGAUUGAUACCUUCCUGAUGCAAUUCUGUUUGCUGAGUACUGUUCCUGGUUGGAACCNNNNNNNNNNNNNNNNNNNNNNNNNNNNNNNNNNNNNNNNNNNNNNNNNNNNNNNNNNNNNNNNNNNNNNNNNNNNNNNNNNNNNNNNNNNNNNNNNNNNUCGUCGAUUCGUCGAGCGGGUGCGACGUUCCGGCUGAAACAAGUGUUCGUGGGUUCGUAUUGACCCGAGGAGCCGAGGCGGCUUCCAUAAAUCGUAGGAUCGCAUCCCAAGCAUCAUAACGAAGAACCGAAGACCAUUAAUUUACGAAUCGCAAAUCGGUGGUCAUCUGACGGUCGUGUGUGAGUGGGGUCGAGCCAUGCGGCGUGCGCCGCGGGAGGCCGAUUGCGGGUGACGACGAGCAAUCGGAACGCGAUAAAAGGUGGUUGGUGACCAUCCCGAAGCAACAGGGCCCCCUUCUAUGUCUUAGUACAUUUUGAUUCUUGCAUCUUGUAUUAUUGCACUAUAGGAUGAUUGUGCAUUGCCUUUCCUUAUGCUUUCCUUGAUGAUAUCGUAGCAUGUACUGGAUACUUGAUAUAGUGGAUUGAUAAGGAUUGGGUCGAGACUUGUGAAUCCUAUAGUGCAGAGAAAAAGAUGGGCUCAAUGGUUGGUUUAAUGUUAAACAAAGAACGAGUGGCAUUUAGUCGAUAGUAAACAAUGAACGAGUGGCAAUCUAGUUGAUAGUGUAUAAGAAAACAAGUGAUACAUGUCAAACUUAGUGUAUACGACACUUAUGGACUAUAUGAUGAUAGUAAACCUAGAGGAUAGGGUACCCUCGAGUGGAGAGGAUUGGAUCAUGCUCACGGUCUAUUUUUUUUAACUUGUGAUGGAAGCCCCACACAAGAAGUGCGCUCCGGAGUUGGUCACAUGGGAUGGCCUAUUUUGGGUCCCAAGGGAUGGCCUAUUUUGGGUCCCGGCAGAUGGUCUCGGUUCGUAGUGCGAGUUGACCCCCCCUACCUUCGACAUGGCUAGUGAGCAGUAGGCGAGCCUUCAGGGAAGCCACGAGAUUAAUAAACAAGUAAAUGAGAUUGAUGAACAAGUACAUAGCUUUACUUUUUGGACAUGAUGACAGGUUAGUUGCUUACCAUUUCAUUGUACAUGCAUUCAUAUGUUUAUGAUUCGGGCAUAGUAGUGUAGCUUUACUAUCCUGUCUUUACAGCUUUGCUUUUUAUCUACCUAUCUAUCUGGUUAUCUACUUGUGCCCACUUGGACCUAGUGGGGAGACCGGCGGAGUCGGCUGCCGAACCCACUGGGAACUAAGGAAGUUAGUUCUCACCCCCCAUUUUACUACAGGGCCGAGCGCGAGCUUGCUCAGCGAGGAUCGCGGUAAGGGCCUAGCGCCCUAGUUGCAUUAGUUUACUUUCCUAUUUCUGCAUUAGAGUCACCUUUAUAUGCAUUGAGAGUAGAUGAUGUAUAGGAUGUGAGAUAUUCUGGAAUGAAUGUAAGCUAAUGUUUAUAUUUUGGAAGAUGUAAGCUUUAUAUUAUGUUUAGAAGCUUAAUGUAUAAUCAAGUUGUAUUAUAAAGGCUGAAUGAAUGUAAUAGAUAGAUGUUCCUCUCUUUAUCAUUACUUGUAUAUCUUAUACUUGUAUCUUGCUCUUAGUUGUUUAGCACUGAUUGUGCUCCCCUCGUAGUUGUUGAGUGAUCAUGUAUGUAUUCAAGUGAUUUCCUGGGAACUUGUUGUACAUGAUCUCGCUGUUGGCCUUGGGCGGACAGGGGAGGUGCUGUCCGUUCGGCGUCUGUUCGACGCGCCCGAACUGGACCAAAUUGGUAUCGAUUUCGGGGCGUGACAGAUAAAAGUGGUAUUAGAGUAGUUAAGAUCAAGUAAAGAGAGAAGUCUAGGAUGGACCUAGGGGACCCUAGGACGGUGAACCCUAAGGUUAUAGGUGCGUGAGUGACGUGAACCUAUACGGUGGCGAAAUUUGGAUCGAUUGGGUCAAGUUAGUAAACCUCUAAGAUGGAUGUUAGAGGUGGAUUCAAGGUUUUGUUUAUUCUCACCCGAGAGUGUUCAUGUUGGAUGCAUACAACAUGAAACUGAGUGGUGAGAAUAGGCACCCUUGUAUGACUUUCGCCCGAUUGAGUUGCGUU